AGUGAACGCUGGCGGCAGGCCUAACACAUGCAAGUCGAACGGCAGCACAGUAUGAGCUUGCUCUUACGGGUGGCGAGUGGCGGACGGGUGAGGAAUGCAGCGGAUUCUACUUUUUCGUGGGGGACAACGUAGGGAAACUUAUGCUACUACCUCAUACCUCCUACGGGUGACAGCAGGGGAUCUUCAGACCUUGGCCUCACUCAUGAGCCGAUGUCGGUUUUGUUAGUUGGCUGGGUAAAGGCCCACCAAGGCAACGAUCCGUACCUGGUCUGAGAGGAUGAUCGGCCACACUGGAACUGAGACACGGCCCAGACUCCUACGGGAGGAAGCAGUGGGGAAUUUUGGACAAGGGGCGCAAGCCUAAUCCAGCACUCCCGCGUGGGGGAGGAGGGCCUUCGGGUUGUAAAGCCCGUUUGUUGGGAAAGAAAAGCAGCAGGUUAAUACCCCGCUGUACUGACGGUACCCAAAGAAUAAGCACCGGCUAACUUCGUG
rnacentral:rRNA from 1 species